rnacentral:tRNA from 1 species
UAGGCUCCACCGGAUAGGGUACACCUUGAUAGGGUGUAAUAUUAAAAGCCUAU